UGGAGGCAGCAGGGAGGUAGGUUUCUCCACUGUAAAGCCUGCACCCCCUCCCCAUAGGGGAGACACCCAAAACCCAGUGCCUGUUUAGGGGAAGGACUGAUGCCCUGGGGCCAGUGACAGGAUGACACCUGCCCCAGUGAGGGGGCCAAGGCAAGUCUGCCACAGGAGCUUGAUGCAAAUCAACCUUUGUGCAAAUUCACCAAUCAAGAAAUUCAGUCAGCUCUUCCUAGAUGAGGAAGGAGAAGUGAAGGGAAGUGAGCGCCUUCUGCUCCAUGCACGGCUCUACAUUUCCUCCCUGCACACUGUUGCUGAAAAGACCUUUAUUUACGUGCCUGAAUAUGAACACUGGAGGCUCCCAGGUCCAGAAGAGGCCAUGGGAAGCAGAACAUAAGUUAGAGCAACCAUGAGGUUGCUCUGAUUGACACCCAAGGAAUCUGCAGGAGCCUUGUAGUCCACAGCAGCUUUCAGGGGAUGUAACAACUGCUUCAGCCUGGACAAUGAUCUGCGAAACAUUCAGCCCUGGCAUAAGCUAGUGCAACUCUACUGGAGACACGUCCUGUGCUCACUUACUGCCGGGCCAAUUAUGACUGAGGAGUGCAAGGUGCCUUGGAGGCUGCGUUUUUUUUUUGUUUUUU